GGGUUGUGAGGUUAAGCGACUAAGCGUACACGGUGGAUGCCCUGGCAGUCAGAGGCGAUGAAGGACGUGCUAAUCUGCGAUAAGCGUCGGUAAGGUGAUAUGAACCGUUAUAACCGGCGAUUUCCGAAUGGGGAAACCCAGUGUGUUUCGACACACUAUCAUUAACUGAAUCCAUAGGUUAAUGAGGCGAACCGGGGGAACUGAAACAU
rnacentral:rRNA from 1 species